CGCAACCCUUACGUCCUUACGUUACCUACGCACGUUAUAGGUGGGCACUCUAAGGAGACUGCCGGUGACAAACCGGAGGAAGGUGGGGAUGACGUCAAGUCAUCAUGGCCCUUACGGCCUGGGCUACACACGUGCUACAAUGGUCGGUACAAAGGGUUGCCAAGCCGCGAGGUGGAGCUAAUCCCAUAAAACCGAUCGUAGUCCGGAUCGCAGUCUGCAACUCGACUGCGUGAAGUCGGAAUCGCUAGUAAUCGUGAAUCAGAAUGUCACGGUGAAUACGUUCCCGGGCCUU
rnacentral:rRNA from 1 species